UACGUAGGGUGCGAGCGUUAAUCGGAAUUACUGGGCGUAAAGCGUGCGCAGGCGGUUAUGUAAGUCAGAUGUGAAAUGCCCGGGCUUAACCUGGGAACUGCAUUUGUGACUGCAUGGCUAGAGUGUGUCAGAGGGGGGUAGAAUUCCACGUGUAGCAGUGAAAUGCGUAGAUAUGUGGAGGAAUACCGAUGGCGAAGGCAGCCCCCUGGGAUAACACUGACGCUCAUGCACGAAAGCGUGGGGAGCAAACAGG
rnacentral:rRNA from 1 species